CCGUGUCCGUAUGCGUGUCCGUGCUUCAUAGAUUAUAUUCGACAUGGCCUAGGGAAAUCAUUCUGAACUGAAAAACACUAGCUAUACUUCAAAUAAUUUGGGAAAUGGCUUCCAUUUGAUGGCCCAUUCACCAUGAUUACUUUCCUUCUAUUACUUAAUUUUUUUUAAUCGAUAAUCCCAGAAGAUGAAAUCAAAUAAUGCUUUAGGACCCAAUGAUAUUCCUAUUGAAACUUGGAAGUGCUUGGGUAAAAGGGGGAUUGCUUGGUUGACUAAGUUGUUUAGCAAAAUGAGCUCUUUUUUUUGCUAAGGUGUGGAUAUAGAUAUGAUAUUUUCACUCAACGUCUUUGUUUUUGUUUUUUUUGUUUUCGGAUUUAUGUUACUGGGUCAAACUUUGUCUUGUGUGCAGGUCUAUGUGGUCUAUAUGGGAAGCGGAGAUGGUCAUGUUUUCACACUUUCUUUUUAUUUAUUUUUAUUUUUUUAUGGUUUGAUGUUAUUGUUGUGUUCCUCUUCUUGUUCUUAUUGAGGAUUGUUUGGUUGUGCUGAUUGAAUCAUUCAAUUGGUGACACAGUGUUGAACAAGCCAGGGCAUCUCAUGUCUACAGUUACAGACAUGGUUUCAGAGGCUUUACAGCCAAGUUGAUAGAGGACCAAGCUUUUGAAAUUGCCAAGAUGCCUGGAGUGGUGUCGGUGUUUCCAAACAACCGUAGGAGGCUUCACACGACUCAUUCAUGGGAUUUCAUGGGUCUUUUGGGAGAAGAAACCAUGGAAAUCCCUGGGUAUUCCACCAAGAACCAAGUUAAUGUCGUUAUCGGCUUCAUUGAUAUCGGUUAGUUGUCUUUCCCUUUCUAUCGAGAACAAUUGGUUUCAUUGAUUAGUAUCACUGUAUGUAUAUGCACAAAUUAGACAAUGUUCAUUUAUUAGUUCAUUAUGGAGACAUGACCUCUAGGCUCUUCCUAGGAUUAGGAGUAGAAAACAAACAGACUAUCUGUGCUCAUUGAAUACAACACUUGCUCAUUCUUUAAUGAGUACCCAUUAUCAUUUUCUUCGAUGCUCUGUUUGUUUGAAGUCACAAGUAUGUGAGCUAACAAUGCCCUUCCUCACUCUUCAUUAUGAUUUCGAACUAAAAUGAGACUUUUCAUUAUGAUUUUAGAAAUUAUAGGUUCAUUUUGUUUAAUCAAAAAACACUCAUCAUUCUAGUCCACUUUUCUUUUUAAUCCUCUCUUUGUCACUGUUUUUGCUAACAAAGGCGUGCCGGUCUCUCUUGCCACUGUUAAGAUUGUAGUAGAGUUUUUUUUCACACACACAACUCUCAAAUUGUUGUGAAACAUAUUGAUUUGCAACAUAUCUCUCUCACACUCUAUGAAAUUGCAAUUAAUUUUAAGCACUGCUCAAAGUAGGAAUUUGGCCUGAAUCCCCAAGUUUCAGUGAUGCUCACAUGCCUCCAUCGGCUAUUUAUUCGGAGCUCUUGUUGAAGUUUAGAGAUUGCUAACAUUGUCUAAGAAUAGGGAGAUACAUGAUGUAGAGAAUGCAAACUAGAAAGUGAAAGUUUGGAAUUUGUAAAGGUUUUAGUGCCUAUGGGCCUCAUCCGAUCAAAUUUUUGGUCAAUUUGGGUCUCAUUUUAUGUCCUUUACAAGUUAUUUGAUGCUAGUUUGGUUUUAUUUAUGUGUUAUCCGGCUUUAGGGUAUGUAUUAACAAUAUUUUUUUAUUUUUUAUUUUUUUUUAUUUUUUUUUUUUAUACUUCUUGUGUUAUUAAACUUAUUUUUAAUUUUUGAGUCUUUUCCGAUGUUUAAUUCAAUGCUUUAUGUUAUCAUCUUGUCAAUGCUAUACGUUUUGUUGGUGAGCUGCAUCCUGACAAGAACAGUGACAACAAGAAGCAUGUGCUUUACACAUAAAAACAUUAUUGUAAAAUACAAGGAUCAGGUCCUUUGCUUAUGAAUCAUUUGAUUUUUUGGUUGAGAAUUGUAAAUUCAAUUUUUGGAUAUGUUAUUUUGUGAGUAAUGUUAAAACAUCAUUUGUGAAUAUGUUA